rnacentral:misc_RNA from 1 species
AAGUCGUAACAAGGUUUCCGUAGGUGAACCUGCGGAAGGAUCAUUACCAAAUCCAAAAUACCCCAAAACCCCAUGUGAACUAUUGUAUAGUCUGUCUUUGGGAGAAAGGUUUUCCUCUUCUUUUUUUUUUUGAGGCGCUUUUCUCCCAAAAGAGUCCGGCAUACCUGUAUUGGAUGUGUCCAGAUUCUUACCCCCUUUUAAUUUAAACCACUUGAUUUUUUUUGUUGGAAUUUUUCUUUUAUUAAUUUUUAAAAUAAAAGACAACUUUUAACGGCGGAUCUCUUGGCUCGUG